rnacentral:rRNA from 1 species
AUUGAACGCUGGCGGAAUGCUUUACACAUGCAAGUCGAACGGCAGCACGGGGCAACCUGGUGGCGAGUGGCGAACGGUGAGUAAUACAUCGGAACGUGCCCAAUCGUGGGGGAUAACGUAGCGAAAGUUACGCUAAUACCGCAUACGAUCUACGGAUGAAAGCGGGGGAUCGCAAGACCUCGCGCGAGUGGAGCGGCCGAUGUCAGAUUAGGUAGUUGGUGGGUAAAGGCUCACCAAGCCAACGAUCUGUAGCUGGUCUGAGAGGACGACCAGCCACACUGGAACUGAGACACGGUCCAGACUCCUACGGAGGCAGCAGUGGGGAAUUUUGGACAAUGGGCGCAAGCCUGAUCCAGCCAUUCCGCGUGCAGGAUGAAGGCCUCGGUUGUGAACUGCUUUGUACGGUAACGAAACGGACGAGGCUCUAAUACAG